rnacentral:rRNA from 1 species
CCGCACGGGUGAGUAACACGUAUCCAACCUGCCGUCUACUCUUGGCCAGCCUUCUGAAAGGAAGAUUAAUCCAGGAUGGCAUCAUGAGUUCACAUGUCCGCAUGAUUAAAGGUAUUUUCCGGUAGACGAUGGGGAUGUGUUCCAUUAGAUAGUAGGCGGGGUAACGGCCCACCUAGUCAACGAUGGAUAGGGGUUCUGAGAGGAAGGUCCCCCACAUUGGAACUGAGACACGGUCCAA